GUGGCGGCCCCUUUUCAAAUUAGAGAUCCAUGGACCUGAUGGAUAACCCACCCCAAUCUUACUACACUUAGUUCUCUCAUCCUCCAUAUCGCCGACUGAAAAGAAAAGCAUAAAUUUUUAUUUUGUCAGUUUUAAGCUGUUAAGUCAGGUAAAGAUGAAGAUUAUGGUAUUGAAAGUUUGUGGAUCAAAAAUCUUGAUGAAUCAAUUUGUUGAUAUACAAAAUAAAUGAAUUUAAAAGUAAGGUUAUUUUAUUAAAAUAGCUUGAAUAUUGUAAAAAGGAGUGUACACAUCGCCCGUCGCUCUAA
rnacentral:rRNA from 1 species